UGGAGACAUACCACGUGGUCUGGCAAAGCAUCUUCUCGCCUCUCAACUUUUGAUCUCCUCUACAGAUGGCGACAAGAUUAAUCGAAAUCCCCAACCCAUCCGGAUUAGACCCAUUCUUAUCAUAUUGUUUACAAUCAUUUAUUCUAUUCUGUACACACGGAAGGAGAGGGGAAAAAAAGACAAACAUUGGAACGUGCAAUAAGUAGCGGUACAGCGGCAGCAAGAAAUAGAAAAAAUCGAAGAAGACAGUGCAAAGGAAGAAGAGACGAGACAGUCGCUCGUCGUGUUUUACCUACUUUAUCGCCUCCCACGUCUCGCUGUCAAAGGUCUUCACAACCAGCAGCUCGAGGGCGUAAUUCACAAAACCGUACUGCACAUUGUACACGCGAAUUGGAACCGACAUCCGACGUCAACGUGUUGUUGUCGUUUCGUCCACGAGUCACAGUCAAACCAGUCGGCUCCUCCUUUGUCCUCGAUACGAGCAGUCCAUAGCAGUUUCUCUCUUUUUUUUUUUACGUGAACGUACCAUGAUGAUUGGGGACUGGUCGACGCUUCUCCACGUAUCAUUCCAUUCUAAUUGUCAUGGGAGCCGUGUUUACCUCGUGCACACGAGCCGCGUACUGGAAAGUUGGCCUGCCGUUUGUCGGACACGAUAAGUAUCGAUUUUCUACAGCUGCGCCACCUAGAUACAACCCUGUUACCCGACUUCGGCUCGCCCUCCAUCAACCCUCCUACACUCUUCCGCUGCCAAUCCGCUUCCAUCCUAUCCUCGACGGCCUGGCAUCGACGCCGAUAUUAGUCAUCCGAUGAAUACUUGCAAGACCUGCGAGACUGAGUUGGAAGAAAAUCGAAACCUCUUCUUUGAACUCGACGUUUACGAUUUUUCUUUUUAUUUCCCUAUUUCUUUUUUCAUUCUUCAGUUAUGGUCGUAGAUUUAAAGUUAAAACCAGUCUUCGAUCAUCCAUUACGUAGAAUAUAAGGAGAGAAUAUUGUUGUGUAUUGUUGUAUUUAUGCGUACAUUGAUCGCUAGAGCAAAGAUUUUAUUUCUUCUUCUUUUUUUUCUCUUGUUUUUAUACUCUUCAACGUUUUUUUUAUAUUCAUGUAAUAUAUAUAUCAAGUUAUGACAAGUGUAAAACAAAUUUUUCAUUUCGAAAUUUGAGAAAUAACGUAGAAUUAGAUAUUCUCCGAUUAAAAUUGAUGUAUAUAUUAGUC